UCAGCAUGCUCACACCAGGCCACAACAAUGGCCGCCGCCAAUGUCCCAGUCCCUGGAGAGGUCUCACCCCUCACCGAGAUGCACUCAGGGCCUAUUAGAUUUUUGCAGCGAGAGCCUCCUCAACACUGUGUCAGCCUCAGACCCAACUUCCUCUGCUGAACACAGCCAGUUCCUAGAGAAGAGAUGGGCUCAGCCCCGCCACGUCCUCGCUCUGGGAUGCUGGCUGACUCGCCUCUGUCAGCCCCGGUUCUUUCCCUGUCGAAUGAUCGUGUCCCUCCUGGGAGCUGUCAGGCUGAGUGUGUGCAGUGCCUUUAGGCCCCCUGAGUCCUUAGCAGAGAUCCGUGUGCUUGGCCUGAGCACCUGCAGGGAUGGAGCUGUCAUCCCCCUGGAGGGGGCGCUGC